rnacentral:rRNA from 1 species
UACGUAGGGGGCUAGCGUUGUCCGGAUUUACUGGGCGUAAAGAGCUCGUAGGCGGCUUGUCACGUCGGGUGUGAAAGCCCGGGGCUUAACCCCGGGUCUGCAUUCGAUACGGGCUAGCUAGAGUGUGGUAGGGGAGAUCGGAAUUCCUGGUGUAGCGGUGAAAUGCGCAGAUAUCAGGAGGAACACCGGUGGCGAAGGCGGAUCUCUGGGCCAUUACUGACGCUGAGGAGCGAAAGCGUGGGGAGCGAACAGG